UACGCAGGGGGCUAGCGUUGUUCGGAAUUAUUGGGCGUAAAGGGCGUGUAGGCGGUUCGGUAAGUGAAAUGUGAAAUGCCCCGGCUCACCCGGGGACCUGCAUCUCAAACUGCCGGACUAGAGUAUGGGAGAGGAUGAGGGAAUUCCUGGUGUAGCGGUGAAAUGCGUAGAUAUCAGGAGGAACACCGGUGGCGAAAGCGCUCAUCUAGCCCAAUACUGACGCUGAGGCGCGAAAGCUAGGGGAGCAAACGGG
rnacentral:rRNA from 1 species